rnacentral:rRNA from 1 species
AGUGAACGCUGGCGGUAGGCCUAACACAUGCAAGUCGAACGGCAGCACAGUAAGAGCUUGCUCUUACGGGUGGCGAGUGGCGGAUGGGUGAGGAAUACAUCGGAAUCUACUUUUUCGUGGGGGAUAACGUAGGGAAACUUACGCUAAUACCGCAUACGACCUACGGGUGAAAGCAGGGGAUCUUCGGACCUUGCGCGAUUGAAUGCGCCGAUGUCGGAUUAGCUAGUUGGCGGGGUAAAGGCCCACCAAGGCGACGAUCCGUAGCUGGUCUGAGAGGAUGAUCAGCCACACUGGAACUGAGACACGGUCCAGACUCCUACGGGAGGCAGCAGUGGGGAAUAUUGGACAAUGGGCGCAAGCCUGAUCCAGCCAUACCGCGUGGGUGAAGAAGGCCUUCGGGUUGCAAAGCCCUUUUGUUGGGAAAGAAAAGCAGCAGGUUAAUACCCCGCUGUUCUGACGGUACCCAAAGAAUAAGCACCGGCUAACUUCGUG